AUUGUUUCCACAACUUGGUCACAGUCUCGGACAAGUUGCCAGAGAUCUACAGGCACAUCCCACAGCCCGGAGCAAGCUCCUCUGUGCUUCACUAAGUCACACCAGGGGUGGGUGACAGUGCCAUGGAGGAUUAACAAGCAAGAAAAAGGUACUGGUAAACCAGAUUAUCUGCCCUGUCAGUACCAGCGAGCAGGACUACCCAGAGCUCCUGGCUGAAAGGUAUUUGAGAAAAAUUUGUAGAAGCAUCCAGAAUAAUUUUCCAGAAAAAACAAACAACUAGCUAUUGUAAAUAUACUUUUUCUUUGUAAGUGGCCGAAACUAAAAACCAGGGAAAAAGCUGUGGACAAUAAAAUUCAUGUGAACCUACAUGGCUUAGUACUGAAGGAGCAACCCCCUAAGCUACAAUUAAGAGUCUGCUGCAGGCACAAGAGGGCAGACUGAUGCACAUUAUGGAUCUUGCCAACAACAGAGGUCUCAACUUGCUACUCAACUUUCUGCUCAUUGUCUUGGUUCUAGUGCUCGCAUUUAUCCUUGUGAAGCUGAUGUGAACCUCUGCAAAGCUCUGCUUCCUUCUCAGAUUUCACCCUGUGGAUUUUGCAAUGAUAAUGUAGACACUCCAGACUACCUGAAGAUAAGUAUGCAAAGACAGCAGAGGCUGAAAUAUCCGACAGUUAGAGAAAUGAGAAAUGUGUUCACACCCCAAAUUUAUCAGAAAGCAAUCCUAAGAGCUGUGCACAAGUAUCUACCUGCCACUGAGUGAAGAAAGCACCUACAGCCUCGCUGAGUACCUGAAGAAAACCAAAAAUGCAUCAGCAGCAACUGUAGCUUCUCAUUGCUACAGCUGGUUGUUAUUUAAAGAGCUAAAAUUAUUUGGAGCAUUCAAGGAAUGUAAUUUCUGCAAAAAGGGGACAGCAGAAAUCAAAUUUUUAAAAUGGGAUUUCUGUAUAACAUAUACUUCAUGGGAAAUGACAGCAGGAAGGCAAACCAAAAUGCCAGUUUUGAGUUGACGGCACACAUCAAAUUACCUGUGGAGAGAAAAGCACAGGUGCUGUAAAUGGAAACAAAGAUAUCCCUGAAAAGCAGCUUGCUUUUUUGGGGGAUAAGUGAAGGUCGAAUAUGAAAACAUAAUUAUUAUUUAGACCACCUGUGGUUCACUGCAACACCUUAAAAGCCAAAAGCCUUCUGUUAUCCAGAGCGUAUCAAAAGCAGCAGCUGUCAAAACAACUGAAAAACAAAGGGCCAUUACCCAGAGUUAUGAUAACUCUGUCCAGGAAACCCUUAGCACCAGCAGUAGGUGCAGCUGCACAAGCCCAAGAUGCAUUACAGCCUCAGUAAGAGGAUUUACCACUUACGCAUAGGUCAAGUGAGCAGUGUGGGAGUCCUCCAGCCGUAUUUGACAGACCACUUGUUACUUGCCAGUGCAAUCAUCAGUCCAUAGCCUGUCCUCACCUCUAGGCAUGCAGCAAAAACUUCUUACAGGACAUCAUCUUUACAGGAUGAUGUACUUUUCCCACAGGGUCCUGGGAAGGAGAGUGACCAAGAAGAGCACAUUUCUGUUGGAAUUAUUUUCCAGAAGGUAGUGC